rnacentral:rRNA from 1 species
GUGGCGAACGGGUGAGUAACACGUAGGGAACCUGCCCCUAAGACGAGGAUAACUACUGGAAACGGUAGCUAAUACUGGAUAGGAUAAGUUGACGCAUGUUGGCUUAUUUAAAGGUGCCUAUAAAGCACCGCUUAGGGAUGACCCUGCGGCGCAUUAGCUAGUUGGUGGGGUAACGGCCUACCAAGGCGACGAUGCGUAGCUGUGCUGAGAGGCAGAACAGCCACACUGGGACUGAGACACGGCCCAGACUCCUACGGGAGGCAGCAGUAGGGAAUUUUCGGCAAUGGGGGGAACCCUGACCGAGCGAUGCCGCGUGAGUGAUGAAGGUCUUCGGACUGUAAAACUCUGUUAUUAGGGAAGAAUACUAUAGGGAGGAAAUGCCUUAUAGAUGACGGUACCUAAUGAGGAAGCCCCGGCCAACUAUGUGCCAGCAGCCGCGGUAAUACAUAGGGGGCGAGCGUUAUCCGGAAUUACUGGGCGUAAAGGGUGCGUAGGCGGUUUCUUAAGUCUAGUGUGAAAGCCCACG